UACAGAGGUCUCAAGCGUUGUUCGGAAUCACUGGGCGUAAAGGGUGUGUAGGCUGCGUGUUAAGUCAGAUGUGAAAUCCCGGGGCUCAACCUCGGAACUGCAUCCGAUACUGGCAUGUUAGAGAAUUGGAGAGGAGUCUAGAAUUCACGGUGUAGCAGUGAAAUGCGUAGAUAUCGUGAGGAAUACCAAGUGCGAAGGCAGGACUCUGGACAUUUUCUGACGCUGAGACACGAAGGCUAGGGGAGCAAACGGG
rnacentral:rRNA from 1 species